rnacentral:rRNA from 1 species
AGAACGAACGCUGGCGGCAUGCCUAACACAUGCAAGUCGAACGAGACCUUCGGGUCUAGUGGCGCACGGGUGCGUAACGCGUGGGAAUCUGCCCUUGGGUUCGGAAUAACAGUUGGAAACGACUGCUAAUACCGGAUGAUGACGUAAGUCCAAAGAUUUAUCGCCCAGGGAUGAGCCCGCGUAGGAUUAGCUAGUUGGUGAGGUAAAGGCUCACCAAGGCGACGAUCCUUAGCUGGUCUGAGAGGAUGAUCAGCCACACUGGGACUGAGACACGGCCCAGACUCCUACGGGAGGCAGCAGUGGGGAAUAUUGGACAAUGGGCGAAAGCCUGAUCCAGCAAUGCCGCGUGAGUGAUGAAGGCCGUUAGGUUGUAAAGCUCUUUUACCCGAGAUGAUAAUGACAGUAUCGGAAGAAUAAGCCCCGCUAACUCCGUGCCAGCAGCCGAC